UUAACUCAAAUUUGUAUGCAGUUGGAACGUUUGCCGCUAAGGGCGUUGUUCCAACUGCACACAAAUUUGAGUUA
rfam:Bombyx mori DNA, contig: Bm_scaf14_contig10994, strain: p50T/Dazao, build 2, whole genome shotgun sequence.